GAGAGUCACACCAAAACACAUCCUGAUCCUGAUGAAGCGCCAUGCUCUCUCUUCCUGGAGCAGAGCUUCUUCUUCACUGAGGUUUAACUGCAGCUGGUGGUGAUACCUACAUGUUGCUCUACUGCCACCUGCUGGAGGUCCUCCAGGUCCAGCUGCCGGAUGGGGAUUGGCUGGCGGCAGAGCUGGUAGCUGACCGGAUGGUCGUUCAGCGAGACGGACCUGGUGAUGGCGAGGACGUCCUGGAACAGGAACACAUGGAGCUUCUGGAGACAGAGAAAGAGAGCAUAUUACUCCAUGGCAGCUGAGGGUCCUGGACCGGUCGAUGAGUUCGUCCCUCCGUCCGUACUCUGUGUACAACAGACGGUCCUUGUAGUACUGGCACUCCGACUCCCCCGUCCGCCUGUUGAUGUCCGCCACCACGCUCUGAACCAUCAGCAUCUGUAGACCAAACAGACGACACAUUUUAUAUAAUUUGAUCUGUUGUCUCAUCAUUUAAUGUAACAAAUGUGGUCCACUGAGUUCACGCCUCCCACAGCUGACUGAUUCCUUCUGCUCGCUCCAUCUCCUCUCUGUUGACGUUUUCUAUGAGAAUCGACAACAACCUGUUGAUGAGGCCGACUAAGCUACAUGCAAAUGAUGAAAAAAGUUGAAUUGUGCAGAGAAUCCCAGUACCUCAUAUGAAAAAAUAAAUAAAUAAAAGAAACUAUAAAA